ACUGGGCGUAUAGAGCUCGUAGGUGGUUUGUCGCGUUGUUCGUGAAAUCUCACGGCUUAACUGUGAGCGUGCGGGCGAUACGGGCAGACUUGAGUACCGCAGGGGAGACUGGAAUUCCUGGUGUAGCGGUGGAAUGCGCAGAUAUCAGGAGGAACACCGGUGGCGAAGGCGGGUCUCUGGGCAGUAACUGACGCUGAGGAGCGAAAGCGUGGGGAGCGAACAGGAUUAGAUACCCUGGUAGUCCACGCCGUAAACGGUGGGUACUAGGUGUGGGUUUCCUUCCUUGGGAUCCGUGCCGUAGCUAACGCAUUAAGUACCCCGCCUGGGGAGUACGGCCGCAAGGCUAGAACUCAAAGAAAUUGACGGGGGCCCGCACAAGCGGCGGAGCAUGUGGAUUAAUUCGAUGCAACGCGAAGAACCUUACCUGGGUUUGACAUGCACAGGACGCCGGCAGAGGCGUCGGUUCCCUUGUGGCCUGUGUGCAGGUGGUGCAUGGCUGUCGUCAGCUCGUGUCGUGAGAUGUUGGGUUAAGUCCCGCAACGAGCGCAACCCUUGUCUCAUGUUGCCAGCGGGUAAUGCCGGGGACUCGUGAGAGACUGCCGGGGUCAACUCGGAGGAAGGUGGGGAUGACGUCAAGUCAUCAUGCCCCUUAUGUCCAGGGCUUCACACAUGCUACAAUGGCCGGUACAAAGGGCUGCGAUGCCGCGAGGUUAAGCGAAUCCUUUUAAGCCGGUCUCAGUUCGGAUCGGGGUCUGCAACUCGACCCCGUGAAGUCGGAGU
rnacentral:rRNA from 1 species